CCUACGGGGGGCAGCAGUGGGGAAUAUUGCACAAUGGGCGCAAGCCUGAUGCAGCAACGCCGCGUGAGGGAUGACGGCCUUCGGGUUGUAAACCUCUUUUAGCAGGGAAGAAGCGAAAGUGACGGUACCUGCAGAAAAAGCGCCGGCUAACUACGUGCCAGCAGCCGCGGUAAUACGUAGGGCGCAAGCGUUAUCCGGAAUUAUUGGGCGUAAAGAGCUCGUAGGCGGUUUGUCGCGUCUGCUGUGAAAUCCGGAGGCUCAACCUCCGGCCUGCAGUGGGUACGGGCAGACUAGAGUGCGGUAGGGGAGAUUGGAAUUCCUGGUGUAGCGGUGGAAUGCGCAGAUAUCAGGAGGAACACCGAUGGCGAAGGCAGAUCUCUGGGCCGUAACUGACGCUGAGGAGCGAAAGGGUGGGGAGCAAACAGGCUUAGA
rnacentral:rRNA from 1 species